rnacentral:misc_RNA from 1 species
GAACUCAGUGCAAUUGUUCCUGCAAGAGAAAAACUAACAAUUGUCAAAACAGCGAUCAGUAAGUUUCGUGCUGCAAUCCAGCUGCAAUUUGAUUUCCAUAGAGCAAUCUACAACCUUGGAACUGUUCUGUAUGGAUUAGCAGAGGACAUGUCAAGAACAGGGGGAGCUGUUACUGCUAAAGGUAUUUCUCCUAAUGAGUUGUACAGCCAGUCUGCGAUUUACAUUGCUGCUGCACAUGCACUUAAACCAAAUUACUCGGUUUAUACAAGUGCCUUGAAGCUUGUGAGAUCUAUGCUACCUCUGCCCUACCUGAAGGUCGGAUAUCUCACUUCACCACCUGCUGGUAAUCCACUCGCACCACACAGUGACUGGAAGCGUUCUCAGUUUGUUUUGAAUCAGGAAGGACUUCAACAGAUCAGUAAAGUUGAUCAAAGACACAUGUCAAGUAGCCUUUCAUCAAAUUCAGCAGAUAUGAGUCCUAGUAGACAAGCAAUUAAAGUUGAUGUGCCAGAUAUCAUCUCUGUAUCAGCCUGUGCAGAUCUUACAUUACCACCUGGUGCAGGCCUCCGUAUUGAUACGAUUCAUGGGCCAGUUUACAUGAUCGCUGAUUCAUGGGAAUCUUUGGACUGGUGGCUUGAUGCAAUUCGUUUGGUUUACACGAUAGGUGCAAGGGGCAAGAGUGACGUUUUGGCAGGCAUCAUCACUUCAUAAGCUUUUUGCAUGUAACUAUAUGAUCAACCUCAAUGGUGGGAUUCCUGCUCGAGAAAAGCCUGAUUUAUUAGCCUCUGGAGUCUGUUGCUAAUGUACACUUGUAUAUUAUUUGAUUUUUCACAUGAAAUGAGGUUCAUUGAAGUUCCUCUUGUAAGCGGACGUACGUCACAGGACUACAGAAAUUUGAGCUUGUACUGAUGUUUCAUAGACGUGGAUUAAGG